rnacentral:rRNA from 1 species
GAUGAACGCUGGCGGCGUGCCUAAUACAUGCAAGUCGAGCGAACGGACGAGAAGCUUGCUUCUCUGAUGUUAGCGGCGGACGGGUGAGUAACACGUGGAUAACCUACCUAUAAGACUGGGAUAACUUCGGGAAACCGGAGCUAAUACCGGAUAAUAUUUUGAACCGCAUGGUUCAAAAGUGAAAGACGGUCUUGCUGUCACUUAUAGAUGGAUCCGCGCUGCAUUGGCUAGUUGGUAAGGUAACGGCUUACCAAGGCAACGAUGCAUAGCCGACCUGAGAGGGUGAUCGGCCACACUGGAACUGAGACACGGUCCAGACUCCUACGGGAGGCAGCAGUAGGGAAUCUUCCGCAAUGGGCGAAAGCCUGACGGAGCAACGCCGCGUGAGUGAUGAAGGUCUUCGGAUCGUAAAACUCUGUUAUUAGGGAAGAACAUAUGUGUAAGUAACUGUGCACAUCUUGACGGUACCUAAUCAGAAAGCCACGGCUAACUACGU